CCUACGGGUGGCAGCAGUGGGGAAUAUUGCGCAAUGGGCGAAAGCCUGACGCAGCGACGCCGCGUGAGGGAUGAAGGUCUUCGGAUCGUAAACCUCUGUCAGCAGGGAAGAACGGUCACUGUGCUAAUCAGCAGUGAAUUGACGGUACCCGCAAAGGAAGCACCGGCUAACUCCGUGCCAGCAGCCGCGGUAAUCCGGAGGGUGAGAGUGUUAAUCGGAAUUACUGGGCGUAAAGCGCGAGUAGGCGGUAUGUCAUGUCAAGGGUGAAAUCCCGGCGCUCAACGUGGGAACUGCCUGUGAAACUGGCAAACUAGAGUGUGUGAGAGGAUAGUGGAAUUCCAGGUGUAGGAGUGAAAUCCGUAGAUAUCUGGAGGAACAUCAGUGGCGAAGGCGACUAUCUGGCACAUAACUGACGCUGAGGAGCGAAAGCGUGGGUAGCAAACAGGAUUAGAUACCCGAGUAGUC
rnacentral:rRNA from 1 species